rnacentral:misc_RNA from 1 species
GAUGAAGAACGCAGCAAAAUGCGAUAAGUAAUGAGAAUUGCAGAAUUCAGUGAAUCAUCGAAUCUUUGAACGCACAUUGCGCCCGCUGGUAUUCCGGCGGGCAUGCCUGUUCGAGCGUCAUUUCAACCCUCAAGCCCCCGGGUUUGGUGUUGGGGAUCGGCUCUGCCCUUCUGGGCGGUGCCGCCCCCGAAAUACAUUGGCGGUCUCGCUGCAGCCUCCAUUGCGUAGUAGCUAACACCUCGCAACUGGAACGCGGCGCGGCCAUGCCGUAAAACCCCAACUUCUGAAUGUUGACCUCGGAUCAGGUAGGAAUACCCGCUGAACUUAAGCAUAUCAAUAAGCGGAGGA